ACUGCCGGUGACAAACCGGAGGAAAGGUGGGGAUGACGUCAAGUCCUCAUGGCCCUUAUACGUGGGGCUACACACGUCAUACAAUGGAUGGUACAAAGGGUCGCCAACCCGCGAGGGGGAGCCAAUCCCAAUAAAGCCAUUCGUAGUCCGGAUCGCAGUCUGCAACUCGACUGCGUGAAGUCGGAAUCGCUAGUAAUCGUGGAUCAGAAUGUCACGGUGAAUACGUUCCCGGGUCUU
rnacentral:rRNA from 1 species